GAUGAACGCUGGCGGCGUGCCUAAUACAUGCAAGUCGAGCGAACGGACGAGAAGCUUGCUUCUCUGAUGUUAGCGGCGGACGGGUGAGUAACACGUGGAUAACCUACCUAUAAGACUGGGAUAACUUCGGGAAACCGGAGCUAAUACCGGAUAAUAUUUUGAACCGCAUGGUUCAAAAGUGAAAGACGGUCUUGCUGUCACUUAUAGAUGGAUCCGCGCUGCAUUAGCUAGUUGGUAAGGUAACGGCUUACCAAGGCAACGAUGCAUAGCCGACCUGAGAGGGUGAUCGGCCACACUGGAACUGAGACACGGUCCAGACUCCUACGGGAGGCAGCAGUAGGGAAUCUUCCGCAAUGGGCGAGAGCCUGACGGAGCAACGCCGCGUGAGUGAUGAAGGUCUUCGGAUCGUAAAACUCUGUUAUUAGGGAAGAACAUAUGUGUAAGUAACUGUGCACAUCUUGACGGUACCUAAUCAGAAAGCCACGGCUAACUACGUGCCAGCAGCCGCGGUAAUACGUAGGUGGCAAGCGUUAUCCGGAAUUAUUGGGCGUAAAGCGCGCGUAGGCGGUUUUUUAAGUCUGAUGUGAAAGCCCACGGCUCAACCGUGGAGGGUCAUUGGAAACUGGAAAACUUGAGUGCAGAAGAGGAAAGUGGAAUUCCAUGUGUAGCGGUGAAAUGCGCAGAGAUAUGGAGGAACACCAGUGGCGAAGGCGACUUUCUGGUCUGUAACUGACGCUGAUGUGCGAAAGCGUGGGGAUCAAACAGGAUUAGAUACCCUGGUAGUCCACGCCGUAAACGAUGAGUGCUAAGUGUUAGGGGGUUUCCGCCCCUUAGUGCUGCAGCUAACGCAUUAAGCACUCCGCCUGGGGAGUACGACCGCAAGGUUGAAACUCAAAGGAAUUGACGGGGACCCGCACAAGCGGUGGAGCAUGUGGUUUAAUUCGAAGCAACGCGAAGAACCUUACCAAAUCUUGACAUCCUUUGACAACUCUAGAGAUAGAGCUUUCCCCUUCGGGGGACAAAGUGACAGGUGGUGCAUGGUUGUCGUCAGCUCGUGUCGUGAGAUGUUGGGUUAAGUCCCGCAACGAGCGCAACCCUUAAGCUUAGUUGCCAUCAUUAAGUUGGGCACUCUAAGUUGACUGCCGGUGACAAACCGGAGGAAGGUGGGGAUGACGUCAAAUCAUCAUGCCCCUUAUGAUUUGGGCUACACACGUGCUACAAUGGACAAUACAAAGGGCAGCGAAACCGCGAGGUCAAGCAAAUCCCAUAAAGUUGUUCUCAGUUCGGAUUGUAGUCUGCAACUCGACUACAUGAAGCUGGAAUCGCUAGUAAUCGUAGAUCAGCAUGCUACGGUGAAUACGUUCCCGGGUCU
rnacentral:rRNA from 1 species